GUAAUGAUCAAUGGAAAAACUCUUAAGGCUCAGAGGUGUUCACAAGACUACCAGAUGCAAGAGUAAUUUAUGUAUGUCAAUGAAAAAAGUCAUCUCUGACUUCCACCUAAUGGUCCUGUUGAAGUUACUGGGAUAGGACUUACCAUCCUACCAUAAACAACUAGAAAACAGGAUAAAAUACGCGAAGCUGCUUUCAGGCAUUGAACAAAAGGCAGCAGGCAGCACAGAACUGUGGUCUCUGAGAAAAAGCAAACAAAUGAGGUAAGCCCCAUGAUCCCUGCCCUUCUUCCUGGAGGAACAUUCUAGAAUACACCACAUACAGGAGAGUCUCAAGCAGUUCAUAGCUGCCUCACUGAGUUGAGAAGAAAGGAAACAGAGGCUUUGGAGAGGCUGAGGAGACUGGACCCUGUGGGCAGAGAACCAGAGGGGAAGAAGUUUAGAUGCAGAAAGAACUCCACAAGUUUCCACGCUCAAACUUGCACACGUCAAGUGAAACUCCAUGAGGCCAGGAAAAGAAUUUUCCUAGCCCUACUGUAGCCACCGGGACAAAGCAUCUCUCCAGAAGUCCCCUUCCUUUUCAUUCUCUGAAAAGCUGAGCCCAUUUGACAUCUCCCUCCUUUCCCCACGGGAAACCUCUCAAAUGCUCCGGUGGGAGAAAACUGGAUAUACUGAAGGCUUCGAUAGCUGAAAGCCGCAGAUGAGAAAUCCUUCCGACACUGACUGGGAGCCAGGAAGGGGGCUGUUUGCUGAGGACGGCGACAGAAGCUGUCAGAGGAGCAGUUCUGAGCCUGACGGUGCCACCAAGCUCUGGCCUGGGAGCCUGGAGGCACUUGGAGUCUGUGGGGAAAUUUCAGCGAAGAGAAGACCAGCUCCAGGAAAAGGAAAAAAAAAAAAAAACAACACCCAGAAACUUCUACUUGUCAGAAUCGAAAUGCAUAUCAGUUAUGCUGGAGACAAUGAAAACAUCAAAAAGCACAUACAAACCAUAAAAAAUUCAGGUCCUCUGAAGCAAUGUGGGACACGCUUGGUUGCGCUUCUUAUUUGCAUGUCAGUACCCACAAUGCUCUGCAAACUCCCAGAUCUUUCCACGCAGCCCCGGUGUCUGAGCUCUAGGGAACAAAGUGAAAGGUUCACGUGUGCUUGUGGGGGAGAGAGGUACUUUGGUAUCCGCAGGAAAAGCAAGGCGAGUGUGGGGACAGAUCUGCUCCCACCAUGGUGAUUACCAGCCAGCCCCUUAGGGCUUAAUCUCAGGCUUGGGAGCUCUACCUUGCCUUUUGUUUUUUUGUUUUUGGAUUUUUUUUUUGUUUGUUGUUGCCUUCCUCUUCUUCCCUUUGCCCAGAUAUGCUGUGAUGGUGAAGCCACGCUGUGCAGGGGAGAGGAGGGCGCCAACCUUUAGAAGCCCUGGAUGAUGGAAUGGCUACAGCACUUGCCUGGAAUUUGAGACUUCUGUGCCGUGUGUGUUUUCUGAUGCUGGUCCUCACUCCCAGACAUGCUGGCCUCUUCUGCAUUCGGGCUCCCACUGACAGUCCUUGCUUGGUCAGUGUGCAGACUUAGAGGUGCCACCAUGGCCUGCUGCUGGGGACCAAGGGGGUGCCCUCUGACUUCAAGCUUCCCUCCCACGCAUGAUGCUUUUCUCUGCAAACCUUGCUUCCCAGGGAGCCUCACCGAGCCGUUGUCUGGACGUUCCAAACUCCAGGGGCAGAUUGGGAAUACAGGCCCCAAACUGAAAGUUGGGGGGGGGGGCAUAAAUCUGGCCUCGCCUAGGCACUCUCAGCCUCCUGGGUGGCCUUGGGUACGUCACUUGUCUGCCUCCGUUUGUCCUUUCCCAUCCAAGCCUGUGCUGUCCUGGGAGCGUCUCCUGAGCAUCAGUGACUAUUAUUACACCUGUGAUUUUAACAUGACCAACCAUUCUGGGACAUGACAAAAUACCUAAAAAAUAAAAGUAAAAGCUCAAUCUUUGAGGCUUCUACCUGGAAGGUUUUUGUCUGGGUUGGUACUUUGAUUUUUGAGCUUCGCUUUUCUCAAAGCCGCAAAGGAGUUCUUAGGCUAGAUUAAUUUAGCGGUAGGAAGAUUCGGGCAGAGGCGGGAACGUGGAUACACGCAGGUUCUCAACCCACCCCUGACACCCCAGCGUCGGAGGUAAGAUAAAAGUCAGCCCCCACCUCGAAUUUCAGAAGCUGCCCCGGGAAAGCUGGACCCAGCAGACAGGUUAGUUUGCUUCAGCCUGUACACAGCUCUGGAGCGGUUGCCAGUAUUUGAAAAUCAAGAGCUUUUACAGCACUUCUUAAAACAUCUGAAGAUGGGGCCACCAUAGGCGUCCAUUGCUUCUUGGGAGCCGCGAGACAGCGCCCCCUGGGGGCGGUGGAGGCUCUGCGGUCCAGCAGGGGACCGCCUCCCCAGGCCCACCCAGGUUCUCCAAGCCCAGCCACUCCCCUGGCUUUUGCAGCCUCAGUGGUGGCCAGUCUCACGCUCUGAAACCCAGAGUUUUCCUUCUUUGUUACCAGACACAUUGGCAUGAGGAUAACGCAGCCCCCGCUUAGCUCCGGCAGCUUUUCCUGGUGGCCGUCCAGGAGAGACACAGGACCGAGGGCCUUGACCUACAAACAGCCCCACCUUUUCAUCCCCAUCCGCAAACAAGCUCUGCCUUGGCAAAUGUGUUUUUCACCUGCUGCAGCCCAAGGAAUCUGCUCCGCCUCCUCCUCCUCUCGGCGUGCACGCUUCCCUUCUCUUCUGAUGCCUAAAGUAGUCUGGGGUGAGGGGUGGGUUGCAAGGUUUGGAGGUCUAAAAAUUCUUUCCCAGAUUUGUUGUGUCUAAUUUGGGCUGCAAAUGGUUUUUGUUGUCAACGGCUAACCACUGUUUGGUCUGCGUAGUCAUCUCUGUUGAAUUUAGAGGGUGGUGAAAGCCCAGU